AUGGGAAGGGGACGAGGGAGGCCACCGAAAAAUCUGGUGCCACCGUCACCUGACAAUCGAAGCAAUCCGAUGAAGAAAUCGGGCACAGUAACACCAAAUGCGAAGGAGGGAAUCAUUCAUGAAUCAAGCUCGGCCACUAGUGGAGGUAAGGAUAAGGAAGACGCAGAAACCCUAGAUCUGGGGGUGGAGGAAAAUUCAAAUGAGGAGAAUGAUUCGCAAAAGGCUAAGAUCCCUAAGGAAGAGAGGAAACUUUGGGUGGAUGUUUUGAAUAAGAAUUGA